AUUGGCAUGGGCGAGCCUGAUCAGCCAUGCCGCGUGUGUGAAGAAGGUCUUCGGAUUGUAAAGCACUUUAAGUUGGGAGGAAGGGCAGUAAGUUAAUACCUUGCUGUUUUGACGUUACCAACAGAAUAAGCACCGGCUAACUCCGUGCCAGCAGCCGCGGUAAUA
rnacentral:rRNA from 1 species